CCCAUCCUCGCUCAUCCUCGCUCGGCACCGCUUCAUCCUCGCUCGAACAGGCAGGCUCCAGGCGGAACCCUACCGCCGGCGGCGGCACCUUCAGAUUUCGCAGGUGCUCCGGCGACCACCUCCCGAGCUCCGGUGACCUCCGUCUGCGCAGUUGCAAAAUGUCGGAUGAGUUAGCCA